UGGGGUGUGGCUCAAUGGUAGAGCACUUGCCUGGCAUGCGUGAGGCCAUGGGUUUGAUCCCCAGCAUCACAG
rnacentral:tRNA from 1 species